rnacentral:rRNA from 1 species
AUUGAACGCUGGCGGCAGGCCUAACACAUGCAAGUCGAGCGAGCGGCGGACGGGUGAGUACUGUCUGGGAAACUGCCUGAUGGAGGGGGAUAACUACUGGAAACGGUAGCUAAUACCGCAUACCAUCAGAUGUGCCCAGAUGGGAUUAGCUAGUAGGUGGGGUAACGGCUCACCUAGGCGACGAUACCUAGCUGGUCUGAGAGGAUGACCAGCCACACGGGAACGGAGAAACGGUCAAGACGCCGACGGGAGGCAGCAGUGGGGAAUAGUGCACAAUGGGCGAAAGCCUGAUGCAGCCAGGCCGCGUGUGUGAAGAAGGCCGUCGGGUUGUAAAGCACUUUCAGCGGGGAGGCGGUACCCGCAGAAGAAGCACCGGCUAACUCCGUGCCAGCAGCCGCGGUAAUUC